AGAGUUUGAUCAUGGCUCAGGAUGAACGCUAGCGGCAGGCUUAAUACAUGCAAGGCGAGGGGGCAGCAAUGUCACCGUCGUACGGGUGCGUAACGCGUAUGCAACCUACCUUCAACUGGGGGAUAGCCCGGGGAAACCCGGAUUAAUACCGCAUAAUACAUUGGGCUCACAUGGGUUUAUUUGUUAAAGAUUUAUUGGUUGAAGAUGGGCAUGCGUUCGAUUAGCUAGUUGGCAGGGUAACGGCCUACCAAGGCGACGAUCGAUAGGGGAGCUGAGAGGUUGAUCCCCCACACGGGCACUGAGAUACGGGCCCGACUCCUACGGGAGGCAGCAGUAGGGAAUAUUGGGCAAUGGAUGCAAGUCUGACCCAGCCAUGGCCGCGUGCCGGAUGAAGGCCCUCAGGGUUGUAAACGGCUUUUAUUCGGGAAGAAGAUCAGGGAUGCGUCCUUGCGUGACGGUACCGAAUGAAUAAGCACCGGCUAACUCCGUGCCAGCAGCCGCGGUAAUACGGAGGGUGCGAGCGUUGUCCGGAUUUAUUGGGUUCAAAGGGUGCGUAGGUGGCUUUAUAAGUCAGUGGUGAAAUACAGCCGCUCAACGGUUGAGGUGCCAUUGAUACUGUAGAGCUUGAAACAAGUGGAGGCUGCCGGAAUGGAUGGUGUAGCGGUGAAAUGCAUAGAUAUCAUCCAGAACACCGAUUGCGAAGGCAGGUGGCUACGUUUGAUUUGACACUG
rnacentral:rRNA from 1 species